ensembl:misc_RNA 7SK 7SK RNA
GGAUGUGAGAGAGAUCUGGCUGUCACCCCAUUGAUCUUCAGCUUUGAUUCGGCUGAUCUGGCUGGCUGGGCGGGUAUCCCCUCCCCCCUUUACCCACUCUAUGUGUACAUCCCUCCUGAAGCUGAGUGCUGGGUGGAGGAGGACGAUCUUGCCCAAUAGAAGAGAGAAUUGUUCUUCUAUCAAGGGUAUUUGAGUAGCUGUGCUCCCCUGCUAGAACCUCCAAACAAGCUUUCAAGGAGAAGGUAGGGUAGUCAAGCUUCCAAAACUCCAGACACAUCCAAACCAAGUCCCUGCAUGUGUCAGCCUGCCGAGAG